UUUCCGUAGGUGAACCUGCGGAAGGAUCAUUGCCGAUUAGAAGGGGGGAAUCUUCGGAUUCCCCCUUUUUCAAUCCACAAACCACACCACGUGCACCUGGGAGGAAGGAAGGGGAGCCUGCGGGCUUCCUUUCCCCCCCUCUGUUCAUACGAAACCCUUCUGUUAUUAGAGCGUGUUUUGCGAGAAAAAGUCGAAAACUUGACACAACUUUCAACAACGGAUCUCUUGGCUUUC
rnacentral:misc_RNA from 1 species